rnacentral:rRNA from 1 species
ACGAACGCUGGCGGCGUGCCUAAUACAUAGCAAGUCGAACGGUCUUUCUAUGGAAGCUUGCUUCCACUGAGAAGAUAGUGGCGAACGGGUGAGUAACACGUGGGUAACCUGCCCAUAAGAGGGGGAUAACAUCCGGAAACGGGUGCUAAUACCGCAUAGUUUUCUUGAUCGCAUGAUCGGGAAAGGGAAGACGGCCUUUGUGCUGUCGCUUAUGGAUGGACCCGCGGCGUAUUAGUUAGUUGGUGAGGUAAUGGCUCACCAAGACGAUGAUACGUAGCCGACCUGAGAGGGUGAUCGGCCACAUUGGGACUGAGACACGGCCCAAACUCCUACGGGAGGCAGCAGUAGGGAAUCUUCCGCAAUGGACGAAAGUCUGACGGAGCAACGCCGCGUGAGUGAAGAAAAGGUUUUCGGAUCGUAAAACUCUGUUGUCAGAGAAGAACAAGUUGGAGAGUAACUGCUCCAGCCUUGACGAUAUCUGACCAGAAAGCCACGGCUAACUACGUGCCAGCCGCCGC